UACAGAGGGUGCGAGCGUUAAUCGGAAUUACUGGGCGUAAAGCGCGCGUAGGCGGCUUUGCAAGUCGGGUGUGAAAUCCCCAGGCUUAACCUGGGAACUGCAUUCGAGACUGCAUUGCUAGAGUAUGGGAGAGGGAAGUGGAAUUUCCGGUGUAGCGGUGAAAUGCGUAGAUAUCUGGAGGAACACCGGUGGCGAAGGCGACAUCCUGGACCGGUAUUGACGCUCAUGCACGAAAGCGUGGGGAGCAAACAGG
rnacentral:rRNA from 1 species